ACAACGCCCGGACCGUCGGUCUAACGAGCAAUAUCACCCGCUCGGUGAAUGAUCUACCCUUUGUCGU
rnacentral:pre_miRNA from 1 species